UAGGGAAUCUUCCACAAUGGACGAAAGUCUGAUGGAGCAACGCCGCGUGAGUGAAGAAGGUUUUCGGAUCGUAAAGCUCUGUUGUUGGUNAAGAAGGAUAGAGGCAGUAACUGGUCUUUAUUUGACGGUAAUCAACCAGAAAGUCACGGCUAACUACGUGCCAG
rnacentral:rRNA from 1 species